GAUGAACGCUAGCAGAACGCUUAACACAUGCAAGUCGAACGAAUGUAUUGUCUUCGGAUAAUACGUUAGUGGCAAACGGGCGAGUAACGCGUAUCUAACCUGCCCUUGUGUGAGGCAAAACUAUGGAGACAUAGCUAAUUCCUCAUACGCUCUAAGAAAUGAAAAUACUUAGAGGAAAGAUUUAUCGCACAAGGAGGGGGAUGCGUCCUAUCAGGUAGUUGGUGAGGUAACUGCUCACCAAGCCUAUGACGGGUAGCCGGCCUGAGAGGGUGACCGGCCACACUGGGACUGAGACACGGCCCAGACUCCUACGGGAGGCAGCAGUGGGGAAUAUUGGACAAUGGGCGAAAGCCUGAUCCAGCAACGCCGCGUGAGGGAUGACGGCCUUCGGGUUGUAAACCUCUUUCAGCAGGGACGAAGCGAGAGUGACGGUACCUGCAGAAGAAGGACCGGCCAACUACGUGCCAGCCGCCGCGGUAA
rnacentral:rRNA from 1 species